GACGAACGCUGGCGGCGUGCUUAACACAUGCAAGUCGAACGGAAAGGCCCUGCUUUUGUGGGGUGCUCGAGUGGCGAACGGGUGAGUAACACGUGAGUAACCUGCCCUUGACUUUGGGAUAACUUCAGGAAACUGGGGCUAAUACCGGAUAGGAGCUCCUGCUGCAUGGUGGGGGUUGGAAAGUUUCGGCGGUUGGGGAUGGACUCGCGGCUUAUCAGCUUGUUGGUGGGGUAGUGGCUUACCAAGGCUUUGACGGGUAGCCGGCCUGAGAGGGUGACCGGCCACAUUGGGACUGAGAUACGGCCCAGACUCCUACGGGAGGCAGCAGUGGGGAAUAUUGCACAAUGGGCGGGAGCCUGAUGCAGCAACGCCGCGUGCGGGAUGACGGCCUUCGGGUUGUAAACCGCUUUCGCCUGCGACGAAGCGUGAGUGACGGUAAUGGGUAAAGAAGCACCGGCUAACUACGUG
rnacentral:rRNA from 1 species